rnacentral:rRNA from 1 species
AGUGAACGCUGGCGGUAGGCCUAACACAUGCAAGUCGAACGGCAGCACAGUAAGAGCUUGCUCUUACGGGUGGCGAGUGGCGGACGGGUGAGGAAUACAUCGGAAUCUACUUUUUCGUGGGGGAUAACGUAGGGAAACUUACGCUAAUACCGCAUACGACCUACGGGUGAAAGCAGGGGAGCUUCGGACCUUGCGCGAUUGAAUGAGCCGAUGUCGGAUUAGCUAGUUGGCGGGGUAAAGGCCCACCAAGGCGACGAUCCGUAGCUGGUCUGAGAGGAUGAUCAGCCACACUGGAACUGAGACACGGUCCAGACUCCUACGGGAGGCAGCAGUGGGGAAUAUUGGACAAUGGGCGCAAGCCUGAUCCAGCCAUUCCGCGUGGGUGAUGAAGGCCUUCGGGUUGUAAAGCCCUUUUGUUGGGAAAGAAAAGCAGCAGGUUAAUACCCCGCUGUUCUGACGGUACCCAAAGAAUAAGCACCGGCUAACUUCGUG